GCGAGUGUUCACACAGAUUGCACGGUCAAAAUGUCAAAGAGAUAUGAGCUCCUUAGUUUGGGGCUCGUACCUUAGAUGGGUCUGUAGCUCAGCUGGUUAGAGCGCACCCCUGAUAAGGGUGAGGUCGGUGGUUCAAGUCCACUCAGACCCACCACUUCUACUUAUCCUGCGUCAUCUUUGAUAGCUGCGAUGCUCAUGUGCUAAAGCACACUGCGCGUCUCACUUCAAAUCUGACUGGGUUAAGCGAAGUGGACUUCUAUAAAGAAGUCCGUCUAAGGAUAUCAUGAUGGGGCUAUAGCUCAGCUGGGAGAGCGCCUGCCUUGCACGCAGGAGGUCAGCAGUUCGAUCCUGCUUAGCUCCACCACUUUUUAAGCGUAUUUAUAUUGAUAAGUGCCUUUAAAAAGUGGUUUAUCGUCGUGAUAAAUACACAUGCUCUUUAACAAUCUGGAAAGCUGACAAGUCAUUCUUUAAGAAUGACAGUAAAGUUCUCAAUCAGUGACAUAUCAUGUCACUCACACAAUCAAGUGUGCUUGGACUUUGUCUUAUUGAAUCAAUAACGACAAAGUUUCUAUUUGAGUCCGGCAAAAACAAAACCUUAGUUGUUUUCAUGCAAGACCUUUUGGGGUUGUAUGG
rnacentral:misc_RNA from 1 species